GGAGGAGGACGUGAUGACGUGAGACGCCGCACGUGCUUUAGGUGGGCGUGUCCGGAGGGAGGUUGAGGAGAGAGGACGCGGAGUCGAGAGUAAGCAAUGCCGCUCCGUGCCGAUUUGUGAGUGUGGUCCGGCUUAGACGAAGUGGAGGGAGGGCUCGGUUCGGUGAAGAUUUGGUGGGUCGGUGGACCUGGUCUGACGUGGUGGUGUAUGCCGGUUUUUGCUGGGGGUUUGUUGCCUCCGUUUUUGGGCAAAUAGUGGCAAAUAGUGGCGAUUCCCUUAUAGACCGUUAAAAAGGUCAAGGAAGAAAUAAAAACAGUUCCUGUAUAAAUUAUCAAACAAAAAACGAAAAAAAA